UACGUAGGGUGCAAGCGUUAAUCGGGAUUACUGGGCGUAAAGCGUGCGCAGGCGGUUAUGUAAGACAGGUGUGAAAUCCCCGGGCUUAACCUGGGAACUGCAUUUGUGACUGCAUAGCUAGAGUACGGUAGAGGGGGAUGGAAUUCCGCGUGUAGCAGUGAAAUGCGUAGAUAUGCGGAGGAACACCGAUGGCGAAGGCAAUCCCCUGGACCUGUACUGACGCUCAUGCACGAAAGCGUGGGGAGCAAACAGG
rnacentral:rRNA from 1 species